GGGAGGUGUGGGAGGAGCUGAGGGGAGGUGUGGUGAGGAGCUGAGGGGAGGUGUGGUGAGGAGCUGAGGGGAGGUGUGGUGAGGAGCUGAGGGGAGGAGCUGAGGGGAGGUGUGGUGAGGAGCUGAGGGGAGGUGUGGUGAGGAGCUGAGGGGAGGAGCUGAGGGGCGGUGUGGGGAGGAGCUGAGGGGAGGAGCUGAGGGGAGGAGCUGAGGGGAGGUGUGGUGAGGAGCUGAGGGGAGGUGUGGUGAGGAGCUGAGGGGAGGAGCUGAGGGGCGGUGUGGGGAGGAGCUGAGG
ensembl:lncRNA